rnacentral:rRNA from 1 species
UACAGAGGUCCCAAGCGUUGUUCGGAUUCAUUGGGCGUAAAGGGUGCGUAGGCGGUCGCCUAAGUCAGGUGUGAAAUCUCGAGGCUCAACCUCGAAACUGCACUUGAUACUGGGUGACUUGAGUACUGGAGGGGAGACUGGAAUUUACGGUGUAGCAGUGAAAUGCGUAGAUAUCUGCAGGAACACCCGUGGCGAAAGCGGCGCGCUGGACCACUACUGACGCUGAGGAACGAAAGCUAGGGGAGCAAACAGG